UCCCCGCCUCCCCCCUGCGCCCGCGCGCGGGGACUUACCACCACGAGGCGCCGACCCCGGGGGCGAGCCAGGCCAGGAGCAGAGGGAGCCAGAGCCAGGUUCCACCGACAGGGGCGUUCAUAGUAACCCCGCUGCGUCCGCAUCAGCGGCGGCCACCACUGACUGCCACUCCGCUCUGCCCAGUCUCUUGCGGUAAAUGCAGACACCCGGGACUCGUGGAAGAAAUGAGCGGCCCCAGAGGAGCCCCAAGUUCCAGGUGUUCAACAUAGUGAUUCAACAAUUCUACACGUUACUCAGUGCUCAUCAAGAAUUCCAAAUUGGAUCUAUCUCUGAAGAUGGCAUUAUUCUGAGUCCGUCUUAGGAACAAUCUGUUUUGGGGCACCUGGUGGCUCAGCAGUGGAGCGUCUGCCCUUGGCUCAGGACGUGACCCCGGGGUCCCGGGAUCGAGUCCCAUGUCGGGCUCCCUGCAUGGAGCCUGCUUCUCCCUCUGCCUGUG